rnacentral:rRNA from 1 species
CCUACGGGAGGCAGCAGUCGAGAAUCAUUCACAAUGGGGGAAACCCUGAUGGUGCGACGCCGCGUGGGGGAAUGAAGGUCUUCGGAUUGUACACCCCUGUCAUGUGGGAGCAAAUUAAAAAGAUAGUACCACAAGAGGAAGAGACGGCUAACUCUGUGCCAGCAGCCGCGGUAAUACAGAGGUCUCAAGCGUUGUUCGGAAUCACUGGGCGUCAAGCGUGCGUAGGCUGUUUCGUAAGUCGUGUGUGAAAGGCGCGGGCUCAACCCGCGGACGGCACAUGAUACUGCGAGACUAGAGUAAUGGAGGGGGAACCGGAAUUCGCGGUGUAGCAGUGAAAUGCGUAGAUAUCGAGAGGAACACUCGUGGCGAAGGCGGGUUCCUGGACAUUAACUGACGCUGAGGCACGAAGGCCAGGGGAGCGAAAGGGAUUAGAUACCCCUGUAGUC